rnacentral:rRNA from 1 species
CCUACGGGAGGCAGCAGUGAGGAAUAUUGGUCAAUGGGCGGAAGCCUGAACCAGCCAAGUAGCGUGCAGGAUGACGGCCCUACGGGUUGUAAACUGCUUUUAUACGGGAAUAACGCGCCUUACGUGUAGGGCUUUGCAUGUACCGUAUGAAUAAGGACCGGCUAAUUCCGUGCCAGCAGCCGCGGUAAUACGGAAGGUCCGGGCGUUAUCCGGAUUUAUUGGGUUUAAAGGGAGCGUAGGCCGCAUGCCAAGCGUGCUGUGAAAUGUCCGGGCUCAACCCGGGCCUUGCAGCACGAACUGGGGUGCUUGAGUCGAGGGAAGGCAGGCGGAAUGCGUGGGGUAGCGGGGAAAUGCUUAGAUAUG